CCGCACAGCCAGUCAGAGGCUCGGCGCGCGGGCCGCGCUGACGCAUUGGCCGGAACGCUCGGGCCCCAAACGCUCCAGCCCGAGGAGGCGCCGCACCUACUUCCGAAUAUAACCAACUACGGAGCUGGGGAGCGUGGCUACGAGGAGGCUGCCUCCAAAGUGCAGUGAAAGCGCCCGGAGGGAAGGAUGCGUUACCUGGGUCCCCUCCUCAGGGAGCGGCCGGGCGAGGUGGAGGAUUCCCUCUGAAGGAUUAAAAACUCGGCAGUUGUCUUCUGCCACAGGCUGGGGAGGACCCGAGCAACUGCUCCAUUUGAACUGUGCCAACGGGCAGGAGGAUGGGAGACGGGAAUUGAGAGUCACGGACGAAGGACAGGGGAGUCUGGCGUCUGCUUGUUAAGAAUGUUCAUGUUAUUGAACCUAAUGUUGACAUACCUCCUCCCUGUAGCAGAACGAUUAAACUAACUCUCAAAGGAAAUUUAACAUAUGAGGGAAACAGCAACCUGGACCCAAGACAGGGAAAAAUAAAAAAAGAAGAAACCUUUGAUGGAGAGUAUCAUCAUGAGUGCUCUUCUCAAAUAGGCUUGCCCAGAAUAUUGAAAUUCGUCUGUUCCACUUUGUUGGUUGGACUCAGGUGGGCCAUUCUUGCUUGGGGUCUAUCAUGCAAGUGUGAUCAGAUAGCAGCUGAGGUUGGAGGCAUCUAAAGGCUCAAUUGAGCUGGACAUGAAGGUAGUUCAUUCACCUGGCUAUCACUUGAUGCUGGCUAUUUGCUCUGAGGUCAGUUGAGGUAGAUGACUUAGAGCACCUGCAAGUGGCUUAAUCAUGUGGCUUCCCAUAGCAUAGUAGCUGGAUUCCAAGGUAGUGGUAAUAAUACCUGAAG